rnacentral:rRNA from 1 species
CCUACGGGAAGCAGCAGUGGGGAAUAUUGGGCAAUGGGCGCAAGCCUGACCCAGCAACGCCGCGUGAAGGAAGAAGGCUUUCGGGUUGUAAACUUCUUUUGUCAGGGAAGAGUAGAAGACGGUACCUGACGAAUAAGCCACGGCUAACUACGUGCCAGCAGCCGCGGUAAUACGUAGGUGGCAAGCGUUGUCCGGAUUUACUGGGUGUAAAGGGCGUGUAGCCGGGUUGACAAGUCAGAUGUGAAAUCCUGCGGCUUAACCGCAGAACUGCAGUUGAAACUGUUGAUCUUGAGUACUGGAGAGGCAGACGGAAUUCCUAGUGUAGCGGUGAAAUGCGUAGAUAGUAGGAGGAACACCGGUGGCGAAGGCGGUCUGCUGGACAGCAACUGACGGUGAGGCGCGAAAGCGUGGGGAGCAAACAGGAUUAGAUACCCGAGUAGUC